rnacentral:lncRNA from 1 species
UCACCCUACUCUAAUAAGGUUUUGAUAUCUGGAGCUCAUAGGUGGGAGACAGCUAAUACAUACUUACAAGACAUUUAUUGCAUAGUCAAACCGUGGAUCCAGAGAAACAAGUCAAUAAGUCAAAUCAUGAUGUGCAUGUGUGGCGAAUGAAUGGUGUAUGGUGAUGAUGGUGAUAACAAUGGUGAAAGUCUAAUUCUACUUUUGCUCUUUUAAGGGGAUACAUACCUUUCUUGCACUUUGAAGCUUUUUUGGGGAGAAUGAGAUGCUCUAUAUUUUCUUUUUCUUUCCUCUCAGGUGGGUAUCUUGUACCCCUAAUUCUACUGUCGGACACUUGUCCAUUUUUACCUCUCGUCUCACUUUUUCUUUUCUUCGAGGUUCCGGGCACUAGCCCCUUUUUAUUUCCUCGUAUUAUAUAUAUAUAUAUUUAGAGCACUCAUCUCCUGAAAGAAUGUAGCAAGUGGUAGUAACCAAAAUAACUGGAGCAUUUAUUUCACAGGGAAUAAUAGGGAUAGGAAAAUGUUUUUUUGGCUAUUCUCUCUCGGAUUAGGAGUAGAAUAAUUUUGGGUGAAUGUGGAGAUGGAAAUGAGUGGAUGUAUGUGGAUGCGUACUUCCGGAGUAGAAGCAGCAUAUACGAGUGAACAUGCAAGUGAAUCUUGAUUUUAACCACAUGACAAGCUCCUAAGGGUCUACACAGCUUGACCACACUAAAUGCUCAUAAGCAGUAAAAAGUAAAUGUUUGGCUCAAAGUCUAAUAAGCAUGUAUAUAUGGCUGUGGUAGGAUUUUAAACUCUCAUCAUACAGGAACCCAUCAUGUGAUAUUUUAAAGAUUUUGCAAAGAUAAAAUUCUCCAAAAUUCUAGCAUCUCUAGGAACAAAUAAACAGCAGCUCAACCUUCCCAUAUCAUAUCCGUUAACAACUUAGACUUUAGAUCAAGUACUUUUCCCACAAGUUCAAGUUUAGAGCAAGCUUUAAAUUAUAACAGUUAUGCCUAAACUUGAGAGAGAUUUCAAUUUGAAGAACUAGUCAUGGUAGAGCAACUAUUCAUCAUUUCCAUGUGAGAGUUUAUCAUGAGGGUUCAUAGCAAACUUUAUUUAUUUAUUUAUUUAGCAAACUAAGCAAAGAUAUAUAUAUAUAUAAGAGCACAAAAUCUUUAUUUGGAUUUUCAUGAUUAUGCAUCUUUUAUGAUUUGAGUAAAGUAUAAACGCGAGUAGAAACACUUAGCUGGAUAAAUGGGGGUGCUCUCCCCCAAGCUGGAUUUUGACGUAAUUUCUUCUGAUGUAGCUAGCAAGUGAUGGAGGUGUAUUUGAAAGUCGGCAGCACCCUGACAACGAUUAGGAUGUCCUCCGUCUGCUAGUCUUUUUUUUUAUUCCUUGAAUCCUGUGGAACUCAAAUAGACAACAAAGCUUUGUGGAACUGGUUAAGUGUUAGCAUAAAUAUCUGGCCUUUAUCAUGUUGAGCCUCCUCAAUAAAUAUUACUUAUUUAGCAGGAUCAUGCACUUAUUAUUUUUAUAUUUUUAUUGUAAGAUGAAAACUUAUUUAUUUUAUUUUUAUGCCACCACAGUGAAUGUACUUAUGGGUUUUAUGCCAUGAGCAUACUCACAUGGGGCUUACUAUUUUGUUAACAUUUUUAUUUUCUUUUCAAGAUAGCAUUAACCUGAUUAACUAAGCAAACUAUUGAAUGGAAAAGGAUAACUACCAAGUUUACCUCUUGGCAAGGCGUUCGCUAUUUUUAAGUCCUCCGAACGGGACUCUCCGUUUUCUCAUUCGUCCUGGGAUUCACUGGAUGGCGUAGUCGGUGGUUCCGGUGGCACCUCCUCUUCGUGUAUGGUUAUCUUCUCUUUCCACACUUGACUCGGUGCUACGGUCUCCAUAGGAUAGUUCCGUUCAAGCUGUAUAUCUUCAGACCUUACUACUUCUCCUUCGUAGUCUGCCCAUCCGUCCUUGAUGAUUUGCCUCCUCUGGUUGCGGUUGCGUUGUCUUCUUCAGAGGAAAGUGUAUGUGGACUUCUCCGGUUCCAAUAUAAAUGAUGGCUUAGAUAGUGUUGAGGAACGGUCUUCCAAGGAUGGUGGGUGGAUCGUACUCGUCUUCUACCAUGUCAAUGACCUGAAAAUUAUCUCAAGCUGAAUAUAUAUUGGUUGUAGGGGCAUGGUUCCAUGCAGGAGCUGAUAAGUGACUGCGGCCAUUAUGUUGAUGUCAGAUCCGGUGUCGUAGAGUGUCUUCUAAAAAGAGUAUCUGUUGAUAGUGCACUCAAUGCUUGGAACACCAGGGUCGUCCUUCUUGAUCAAGAAAGGUGACUUGAGUCGACGAUCUUGACCUCCUCCGACAAGGAUCCAUAGUUUUAAAUCUUCUGGACAAGACUUCUCACUGUCUUCAUGCUUUAGGUGCAUCAUUUGAUUAGGUGUGGACCUUGACGUCUGCACUUCUUGAUACGGUGUCACCUAUAUUCUUUGAUUGCCCAACAGUUCGAAGUGCGGUGUUGGCAAUAUCCUGCUCAGUGUGUUUGUGCUCAUAGAUCCAGGUCCUUCACUUGGUGGAAUCUGGGAGUUGUAAAACUCCUCCAUGUUUUGCUUGAAGUGUACCUGCUCAUAGAGACAAGGCAGAGAUCAAGUGCAUGGGCCCUCUUGGUGGAAAACAACAACAUAACCAAAAAGUGUAUUUGUUCUUGUCUAACCUUAAGCAUAGUGAGCAAGAAAAAGUUGAUGGAUCAUGAGUGUAGCAUUUGUCAGAUCAGAUGGCUCAACCUAAUGGAAAGAUAAUCUAUCUAUAUUUAUGUUUUGUUUAUAUCUUCCAAAGAUUGAAUGUGCAAUACUUUAGCUUAUAUGAUUAGGAGUGUGGGAUCACGAAGGUAGUCCUAAGAACAAAGAUUAAAGGACUAAACAUGUUGAAUUAAUUGAGUUGGUUAAUUUGGAGUUACAGAUCAUACAUGUUUGUCUCUUUAUUUUGUGUGAAUGCCAGAACCAAGGAGAAGUUUAUAAAAGUGAUAGUCAAGUACCUUAAGGUGUUACCUUACUUGAAGAGUGAUGGUAUAGUAUCACCUUGUGGAAGCUUUUCUUUUCUUAGCGGUUGUGCAUCGUGUUUGUGGCACCCUCCAUGAAUCAUCUCUUAUGAGCUACGUCUUUCUUGUGCAAAUUGUUAAACUUCAUGUGUCACCUUCUUCAUCUCCAUUGUGAGUUUAUCUUAGGACUUCCCAGGUUGAUAUUAAAAGUUUUCCUGCAGGGGUUAGUCCCACAAAAUAUACCAAUAUCUACUCAAGCAGUUUUUAGUUCAGUAACCAAACUAGACUCCAUGUCUAAUCAGAUUAAGGAAGGCUAUUUAACCUAAGCACCAUGAUUAAUUUAAAUGCCAAUGGAAGUAUGUCGAGUACUUCCAAACCAACACUUGCUAGUAAAUAGAUAAAGGUAGCAUGACAGCAUUUAUAGAGAUCUACUCAAGUGGAGAUGAAGUAGUGUGAUUAGUACUUAACAAAUUGAGCAUGUCUCAAAGGUAGGGACAACCAACAUAGCAACAUGGCAAAGGAUGUUUUUAUGUAAAGUACUCCCCCAAGCUUGAAUUUUGCGAAAUUCAAGUUUGGAUGAAUUUAAUUCAAUGUUGUAUGAUGGUUGGUUGGACAUACCUUGUGCUUGUCAUUCAUCUGAUCUUCUUACUCCAAUCCUAGAAAGGUUAGUGGCAAGAAUACCCGAAGGAAUAUUUCUACAAUUAUCUCAAUAUGCUCAAUACACGAGGCAAUGUUGCAAAUUCAUGUUACGAUCUGAUAAGUGCUUGUUUAAGGACGCUAAGCUUAUCCUUGGGAAACCAUCAAACUAUGUCGGCGAAGUGGUUUCCCCUCCAACGCUGACCUAUAUCAAGAUCAACUCAACGAGAUCUGCAAUAUUUAUUAUAGACAUAUGCAUCGACAACCGCCCUUUUAAAGUUUUUAUUAAUAGAAAAGAAGAGGGGGUCGGAGAUCUCAAAUGUGGUGAUGUUGGAGAGACCAAUUGAUUGGGAGAUGUUUUAUAUGAGCAAGGACUUGGUGAGGUAUUUAUGAAAUAACUUCCAUGCUCAAUAUUGUUUCUCUCAUUCUCAAGCUCCAAGGAUGAUUCUUCACGAAUGCUUAAAAUUCCUCUAGGACUGUCUCUCAAGUUUGUUUUAUCUAUCCAUUCAAUGGUGAUAGCACAUGGAUUUUUAAUGCCCUCUAGCCAUUGAUGUUGCUCUUCUCGAUCCUCCUUAUGCAUGGGAUGUCUAGUGAGAUUCAUAGGAUUAUCGGGAGGUUCAAGAGAAAGAGCAUAGUAGAAACUAUUAAGCUCAAGGAUGGGAUGGAUAGCCGAAUCAUGGGAUUGAAAUGUUUGGAAAUUGGCUAUUGAAACUUCCUUUCCUCGUCUGGGAGAUGAUUCCUUCUCUAUCUCUAAGAUUUUUCUAUGAAGACUAGUAUAAGAAGGAUGUCCACGAAUGAAGACAUACCUUCCUUUACUAAUAGAUAAAGAAAGAAAGACUCUACCAAAGGUUAUAUGAUUCAGACCAAUGUGAGUGAUGUAUAGAGAAGACUACAACCAAGAAAGAAAAACAUGGUCUUGUAGGGCUAGGUUUAAACCAUAAUUUAUAGAUAGAUUAACAAAUUCCCUAGGUGUAGCUAAAAGUGCAUUAUCUUCUUGAUUAAAAGAUAGGACCUUGGCUAUAGAAAAGGGUUGGUUUUGACCUAUUGCAAUCAACUCCGGACACAGAUCAUAAUUAGGGGCAGGACUUGUUGACUCCCAUGGUCUAUGGCUGGUCUCCGAAGGUGCAAAGAAUUCAAUAAUAGGUAUGGAAUUUGAGUUACCCAUAAAGAUGAAAAUAAAAAGAUAAAAGAAUAAAAGUAUAAAAGUAUAAUACAAGAUAAUAGCAAGACUUAAAGUUAUCUCAGCAAACCGUCUUUCUCCCCGGCAGCGGCGCCAGAAAUGCUUGUUGAUAUAUGGUAACGCAAUAAGGAAUUGAUCCGCAAGCGCACGGAUAUCGGUGAGCAUUUCACCUAGGAGAUUAUCCAGAGUUAUCAUAUUUAUAUUUUUACCACUGGGAGAAAGGGUGCAUCUGACUAACCAAAUCUAUUGCUACUAUCCCUUUAGGCUACAAAGAAUGUUUCUCAAUGUGAGUGAUAUAUAGAGAAGACUGCAACCGUAGUCUCGUUCUAACCUUGGUAAGGAUGAUCUACUAUUCUAUUGGGGAGGCUCACGGAAUCUAGACAACACAAAGGAUGUUCGACCCGCACCUAUAAACCUACCCGUCCUGCUAACAAGAUAUGGGAUACAAAAGUAACUCGGAAAUGUCACGUUCCUCGCUACUACCACGGUCCAGCUAGUCAGGGGAUAUCUAUGAGUACCCUAGCCUAAACACCACGUUUACGCUAGCAAUGAUUACUCUAAUACUCAACUGGAAGAGGAUUAAAGUAAACUCAUAUACCAAAGAACAAUAAAACAAGAACUUACUAGAAUUAGAAGUCGAAUUACUGAAGAAUCUUAGAAGCAAGCCUCGGGUUAGAAGACUUGAUCCCACAGGUACAACUCGGAGUAGACACCGACAGGCCAGCCUUCCUCCGAUCUACACCUCGACUCUAUCUCUCUCAAUCUAGUAGAAACUACAAGAUCUAUUUCUACUUACAUUGGUUGCUAAGCCUAAAAAGAAAUUUUAUUUAGAGAAGAGGUUUUCCUUCGAGGGCACCCCUCAACUCUAUGAUAACUUCUUGUCUCCUCCAGGGGCCAGGGGGGUCUCCUUAUAUAGUCCUCCUCCUGUAUGCGUUUUUGGGUCAGUAGGCGAUGUGGUACUACGUUAUCCUUGAUCCUUUAGGUCGGUGGAACAUCGUGUGCGAAGAGAGUCUUCCUUAUUUCCUGAUAAUCCCCUGCAGAAAUAGACAAACACCAAAACUCGUGGAAUUCUGUCAGAUAAAACCUUAAGUCUGGGUGUUGGUUGCAUUUGGAUCCUUUUCUUUAUUUAUUUGAUGAUUAUAUUUGGUACUUAAGGACCAUCAACACUCUGGUAAUCUACUUCUAUUCCAUUAUGCAAUUACUAUUCAUGUAUGUUCUGAUUCACAACUCUUUUGAGUAGUUUUAAUCUAUAGGACCCUAUACGUUAGAGUUGUAGUAUAGGUGUAAGCGUGGUGCUUAGACCUAGAUUACUUGUGGAUAUCCCCUGUCUAGCCGGAUCGUGUGGUAGGCCGCGUAGGUGACAGUUACGUUGGUCCUCUGUAGUCCACCUCCAGUUAGCAGGACUGGUAGGGUUUAUCGGCCUAUGGAUAAGCAUCCUUUGUGGUGUAAUCUUAUCACGUGGUUCGUCCUAGACAUAGACAUACCCCUUUGAAGUAGAGAAACCAUAGUUAUCCUCUCUAUUCUCCUACCAUCGCCCAUAUACUAGAUUGCUCUACUCUCUAUUCCCAUAUUAUCACCCAUUGUUAUCUUACCUUUAAUAUUGUUCUUAUUCAAUUCUACCAUCUUUCCUAUUUACACCUACCUAUCUAUCUAGGUUAAGUUAGAGCGUAGAUCAGUUCUCCCGUUUCCCUAUGGAUAUGAUAAAACCUUUGACCGGGUAAAAGCUACAACGGUAUCCGUGCGCUUGCGGAUUUAUCUGUGUGCGUAUAAAUACCAUAGUACACUCUUGUGCCAUGCUAGGGAUGACAACCUAGUAUUCAAGUGGUGUUAGCAAGUGUCAACACUUGCGAUUUCGCCAAGUUUUCUCUCUUGUGAAUUCAUUGUUUUUAUGCUAAGUUUGACCUCGCCGAACCUUGCAGAGCACCGUCGUCCGCCUUCCUCCAUCGCGAGCGCACCCCAGCCUCUCCCCGACAUCGGUUUUGCCCUAUGUAAGUCCGCAUCAAGCUCCUCUAUGCUCUGGUGCUAUCGGUUUGCUCCCUAGUGCCUUGAAUCACCGUUUUGGCGAACACCGGCCAACUCCGGCCAUGGCGCCGCCGUGACACCCCAACUCUGGCCGGCCAUCUUCCUUCCCCAACUCCGAUCUAAUCGCAACCGUCCACAUGAGAUCCAGCGGCUCCAGAUGAAGGAUACCCCUUCAGCCGCAGUUUUGCUAAAGAGACCCUGCACUUUUUAAGUAUAGAACCCACGGUCCCUGGCGCCUUUAGGCAAAUACGCAUUGUCCUUUUGAAAACAUAAAAGCUCCCGGGUUAAAUCAAAAUACGUUUUCAGUAUUUACUAAUUUGCCACUGAGUUUUUUUAGGCCAUAAAAUAUUCGUUUUAACUCCAAUUUGACCCAUUCAAAAUGCGUUAGGUUCGUCUUUAAAAGAUCUACAUGUUAGUAAUAUUGUUUACUCAGUUUGAAACCUUUAAUUUUCGUGACCUUAUUUAAUUAAUUAUUUUUCUAUAGGAAAUCAUAGAAAAUUCAUAACUUCUAUGUUUCAAUUCUGUUUUUCGUGAUCGUUACGUCUGUGAGAUCGUAGCGAUGCGUAGAAUCAUUUUAUAAUCUUUUUAUACUGUUUUUAUAUGAUUAGUGUACUGUUCUAAUUGUAGCCUUGUUUGCUUUGUGUAUGUUGUCUCCGAUUGUUUGUGUGUUGAUGAUCGAUGAUCGAGUUUAGACGGUGAACAAUACGUUGGUGAUCAAGGCCAAUCUUUUGACCAGCAGCAGGAGUUUCAGGAAAGCUUUGAUCAAGGCAAGUAUAACUUGGGACUAUCCUUGUUACCUAUAUACAAUUAAUACAAUAUAUCAUAUGCAUGUGUCCACCUUGAUGACCUUAGUAAAAUCAUAGAUGAUUGUUGUCCUGAAUUCCUUGAUACCUAUUGGGAUAUGCAUUUGGGUAGUUCUUGCUAGAGCUUGAUUAUAAUCCAUGAUCUUGUAACAUGAAUAUUUUGAUAUACAAUAAACAAUAAAAUAAGCUUUCUAGCAACUUGAACAUAAAGGGUGGAAAGAACUCUGGCUUUUGCUAGAUUGAUCUUGACCCCCCAUAAGGACUUAUCCCUUAGCAAAAGCUGGGACAAUUCGUACUACCAUGAGGGCUAUAUGGCUCUGGCUUUAGUCAAGUAUGAGUAAUUUUUCUAGCUCGUUAGCGGUUACCCAUGUGGCGCAAUUGGGGAAUAGCAGACCGUGGAUUCCUGCGGGUGGAUCACAUGGACUGACUAAUGAAACCAAACGGCCCUAACUUGUUAGACGAACCUUUGAAUGACUUGAUAGUGAUCCCUGCCGAGCUCCCUAGGAAGGGGGUUAAGAGACUUCCAAGCUCGGGCGAAAGGGUAAAUCACAACUCAUGGGUAAAGAUGUACAACCUCUGCAGAGUGUUAAAUCUGGUAUACUAGCCGUGCCCACGGAUACGGGCAGCCUAGAAAACUGACGGAAUAGAUGGACACUGAUGAACAUGAUUAAUGAUGAUAAAUGAGGGUUUAUUAUGUUGUCUAUAUGUGUUAUUCUUAAUUUUUGUAUACAUUGAUCAUGUGGUUAUGGGAUUAAUUAUGCUACCUUGAUAUUUGCUAUCCAAUGAUUAAAUAUGCUAUCUACAUAUAAAAGCUAAACGCAGUCAAAUCAGUGUCAGCUAAUUGAGCCUCAUGAACCCCUGGUUAUACUUGUUGAGUACGAUAUAUGCUCACUCUUGCUAUUUCCCCCAUUCUUCAGGAGGAAUGUUAGGCUUGUGAUCAACCAGUUAGUUGGAUCCUGUAGAGUGGAGUUAAUAACCGAAGUUUGGAGUUAUCUUCCAUUGUUUGCUAUCUAAGGUUACCUCUUAUUUACUAUGUACGUUAUAUAAUUUAUGCAUUGUUUUUUGAUAUUACCCCUUAUUUGUUGCUAUAUGUGAUAUUUGACUUCUAAGACUCAUAUAUGGUGUAUAUCUGGUUUUGUCCUUAAAAUCGGGUAUUACAUUAAUGGAUAAAUGGAUAAUGUACGUAAGUUAUUUCUUAUUCACACAUAAGCGUAUCGGAUAAAUAGCUGAUCCAAUUAUCUUUAUUCAUCAGAUGCAAGUGUUUGAUAAGAAUUUAAAUGUUUUAUAUUAUUUAUCUUUCUGCAUCAUCAUUAGGAGUUGACUUUCUAGUUAAUUUUUUCGUUCAACGGCUUCUCAAGGCCAUAUAUUUUGGAACUGUCUGGCAAUAACGGGCACGUUCCAUAACUUGACUUUUUGUACCUAUACCUUGUCAAUUUUAGGUCAAAUUGACUGGCACGCCUUGGAAUCAAUUCACCAAGCUCGAGUGUUUGUGGCUCAAGAGGUCUAGGACUUCAGCUCCUGCACUCCCUUUGAGAGCCCGUGAAUUUUUGGUGUGAGAAACCAAUUGUUGCACCAACACAUCUUUUGGGAUGCUCGGUGGGACAUCAAUCAACAACAUGGAGAAUGAAAACGUGCUCAAUGUUACUCUAGAUGAACUCCCGGAUCCGUUGAAGGAAAUGGUCGUAACUGCUGUGAGCCAAUAUCAAGAGAAAUGCUUGCUUUCUUUCUUUCAGCAGGACUAGAGAUAAGAAGGUAUAUCAGAAGAAUCUUUUCCCAAGAGUAAUUCUGGAAGGAGAACGUGAUCCUACUGUUCAAUCCAACAUCAAGCUAUGAGUGAAACUAUUAGCAAAGCUAUGGCAGCAACCUUGGCUAAUCAUAAUGAAAUAUUAUUGAAUGGUAUUACUAAUGCCAUUAAGGAAGCUUUUAAUCUAGAUAUAUAGAAUAGGGGUCCGACAUAUUCUGCUCCUAUUGGAAACAGGCAAACAUUUGUUGGGCAGACAUCGGGAGAUCAUAUAUCUGGAGAACCUACAAAUAUAAAUCAAUGCUGCGACACUGUUCAGCAAUCAGUGCAACAGUCGAUACUGGAUUAUGGUCAAUCGGUUGCAAAAGUUGCUCCUCAUAGCAGGAGAUUGGCCAGGAAUUUCAAUGCUCCACCAUAUCAAGGAUGGUUAGCACCUGGAGAUGUACUCACUAGUUAUCACAAUGUUUCAAAGCAUUACACUUUGAAUGGUUGCAAAAACCCUGGAUAUCAACCAAAUAAUCAAAGGAUUCAAAAUUAUGGGUAUCCAGAGCCAAAUAAUCAGCAAGGACCUCAGUUUUAGAUAGAUCAGCUAAUGGGCCAGGUGACUGAUGUGGUUCAGAGGCAGUUUGGCUUGAAGCCCAAGAACAUAACAGUUUCAUAUAAGAAACCAUACCUAGAGUGGUUUGAUCAAGUUUUAUUGCCACCAAGAUAUAGACAUCCACAUUUUGUUAAAUUUACUGGAAUGGGUUCGGUAUCGACAAUGGAGCAUGUUAAUCAAUAUUUGGCUCAACUUGGUAAAAUUGCUGAUGAACCAACAUUCAAAGUGAGGUUCUUUCCUCUUUCUCUAUCUGGACCAGUAUUCUCAUGGUUUGCAUCUCUGCCACAUUAUUCUAUCGAAGGAUGGGAAGAUCUAGAGACCAAGUUCCAUCAUUACUUUGAUUCAAGAAUCAUGGAAAAAGGUAUUAUAGAUUUAGUCGAUGUGAGACAAAGGAACAAUGAGUCUCCACUUCAUUAUUUAUAGAGGUUUAAAGAAGUUAGGAAUCAAUGCUAUACUUAGACACUUUCAGAAGCUGAGUUGGUUAGCAUUGCAAUUUGAGGGCUAAUACCAGCUAUCAGAGAGAAGAUUGGAUUUGAUUCUCCCAAUUUAGCUGCUUUGGCCAGGAAAUUAUCUAGUAUGGAAAAUCAGUUCAAGUAUGCACGCUUUGACAGACCUCAGAAGGUAGGCAAUGUCGGUUAUGAGUCUGACCCAGAGUUAGUCGAUAGCAGUGAUGAAGAAGUUGAAAAUGAUGAGGUAGCCGCUAUGGAUUGGCUGUGGAAAUAUUCUGAAUAUAUUCCAUGGGCCAAGAAUAAAUCGACAUACGAAGAGAAGAAGAAAUUCAACUUUGACAUCACCAAGGCCGACAAAAUAUUUGAUUUUUUUUGGAGAAAGGGUAAAUUAAGUUGAUAGGAAAUCAUAGGAUCCCUUCGGCUGAAGAACUUAAGAAGAAAAGGUAUUGUAAGUAUCAUAAUUCUAAUACUCAUAAUACUAAUGAUUGCAAAGUUUUCAGAGAUAUAAUCCAGCAAGCUAUCAACAAAGGGAAGAUUGGGCAGGAGAAGGGUAAAGGUGGUAUGGGUAUAGAAGGACAUCCCUUUCUAGCAAAUAUGGUUGCUUCCUCUUUUCCAAGGGGGAAGUUCAAGGUGCUUACCUCUGAAAGUGCCAAGGAAGCAAAGGCAGUAGAUUCCACAAGACAAAUAUCAGCUACCGAAUAUCAAGAAAUGAAGAAGAAACAAGAUCAGCAAAUUAGUCAAAGUGGUGAAAUGCGCAAACAUCCUAUUGUCAGGAUUUUAUUGAAUAAAUGGCAAAGACAGAAAGAGAGGGACCAAAUGUGUCAAGAAAGAGAAUAUUGGAUGUAUCAAGAGGAAUACAAAAGAAGGAGAAUUCAAGAAGAAGAUGAAUAUCAUUGGAAUUGUCCUUUCUUUCAACAUUGCUAGAAUGAAGGCUUGAAGUUGCCGACUCUCAAUAACUAUCCUGAGUGCAGUGAUCAGUAUUGGGAAUAUUGUCAAGCUGUACAUGAACGACUGAAUUUUGGGGAAACAAGUCGGCGCAUAAAAAUGGAAAAUAUUCAUGAUCAGUUCAAAACAGAAAUAGUCGAUCAAGAAAUAAUUGAUAGAGAGUAUGUCUGGUAGGAGAAUCAAUGGUGUCCAAGUGGACUUACCAGAAGUCAGAAGAGAAGGGUUCAACGUCUGAUAAAUGAUGAACUGCAUCAAAAAUGACAUAAAGUAUGGCAAGUUAAACAGAUAGUUGAUAAAAGCAAAUGUAAGGCACCAGUUGAAGUUUCUGCUAUUUUUAUGUUGCCUGCUGAAUUUAGAGCCAAUAGUGAUGAGAUAGAAUCAGAUGAAGAAAUAGUUGUGGCUCAAUGUGUUUGUCAAGCAGAAAGUGCAACCUUUGAGAAACCUAAGAAACACCUGCAUUUAAAGGGAUUAUAUCUCAAAGGGUUUAUUGAUGGGAAGCCAUUGACCAAGAUGUUAGUUGAUGGAGGUGUAGCUGUGAAUUUGAUGCCAUAUUCUACAUUCAGAAAGCUUGGUAAGAAGAGAGAAGAUCUAUGUCCAACUGAUAUGAGAUUGACAGAUUUUAGUGGUAGCAUUUCAGUAACCAAAGGUGCUAUAUGUGUUGAAUUGAUAGUUGGUAGUAAGGGCUUGCCUACUACUUUCUUUGUGGUUGAUGCUAAAGGCAUGUAUAGUUUGCUCUUAGGAAGAGAUUGGAUCCAUAUUAAUUGCUGUAUGUCAUCCACCAUGCAUCAGAGUUUAAUUCAGUGGAUUGGAGACAAUGUAGAAGUUGUUCGAGCCGAUUCUUCUAUUAGUAUUUCUUAUACUAGAAUAGAUGAGUGGAAUUUUGAAGGCAUGGAAUGUUUCUAUGGGAAAAUCUAUGAAGGAGAUGUCAUCAAAGUGUUUGAUGAUAAUCAACAGCCGAUACAAGUAGUCGUCUCUCAAAUUUUUAAUUGAUGGAUUCUUUAGUCGAUGAAGAUGAAGGCAAGAUGGGCAAAGGAUUUAUGUCGGCCGAUGAGCUAGAGGAAAUAGAUAUAGGAGAUGGUGAUAAGCCUAGGCCAACAUAUGUAAGUGUUAAAUUAGAUCCUGAGUAUAAACAAGAAUUAAUAGAUUUAUUGAGAGUAUAUAAAGAUACUUAGGAGUAUUAUGAAAUGCCUGGCCUUGAUAAAAAAUUAGUUGAGCAUCGGCUACCGAUUAAACCUAGGUAUCGACCCUUUAAGCAAGCUCCAAGAAGGAUUAAACCAGAGGUAACGGCCAAUGUCAAAGUAGAAAUCACUCGAUUAUAUGAAGCAAAAUUCAUUCGGCAAUGUCGAUAUGCUGAAUGUAUUUCCAUUGUGGUUCCUGUGUAUAAGAAGGAAGGUAAAGUAAGUGUUUGCAAUGAUUUUAGAGAUUUGAAUAAAGCUACCCCUCUAGAUAGUUAUCCUAUGCCUGUUGCCAAUAUGUUAGUCGAUGCAGCGGUAGGACAUAAAAUAAUUAGUUUUAUGGAUGAUAAUGCUGGAUAUAAUCAAAUAUUCAUGGCGGAAGAAGAUAUUCAUAAGACUGCUUUUAGAUGUCCUAGUGCAUUGGGUGUAUAUGAGUGGGUAGUUAUGACUUUUGGACUAAAAAAUGACGUUGUAACUUAUCAGAGGGCAAUGAAUUGUAUAUUUCAUGAGUUGAUCGGUAAGAUUGUUGAAAUUUAUAUAGAUGAUGUAGUUGUGAAAUCCAAGGGUUAUCAAGAACAUUUGGAGGAUCUCAAGAAAACUCUUAUGUGCGCCAGAAAGCAUGGAUUGAGGAUGAAUCCACAUAAGUGUGCCUUUGGAGUAUCAGCUGGACAAUUCUUGGGUUUCAUGGUGCAUGAAAAAGAGGUUGAAGUUGGGCAAAAGAGUUUUAAGCAAUUAGUAAGACAGUGCCUCCAACUUCAAAAACUGAGUUGCAAUCUUUGAUCGGCAAAUUUAAUUUUGUUAGAAGAUUUAUUUCAAACUUAUCAGCUAAGAUUUUGCCGUUCUCUACAUUGUUGAAAUUGAAGAGUGGUCAAGAAUUUAGGUCCGGAAACAAAAAAACAAAAGGCAUUUGAAGAAAUUAAGGAGUAUAUGAAGUCUCCACCAGUUUUAGUCCCCCCUUAGAAUUGAAAGCCUUUUAAGUUGUACGUAGCAGCCAGUGAUCAUAAUAUUGGAUCGGCUUUAAUGCAAGAAUUUGAAGGAAAAGAAAGGGUUAUCUUUUAUUUGAGUAGAAGAUUGUUAGAUCUAGAAACUAGAUAUUCUCCCAUUGAAAAGAUAUGUUUACAUUUGUACUUUUCAUGUAGGCAUUAUUUGUUAUCUUUAGAGUGCACGGUGGUGUCCAAGUUUGAUGUGAUCAAACAUAUGCUAUCUAUGCCUAUUUUAAAUGGGAGAAUUGGUAAGUGGAUUCUUGCAUUAUCAGAAUUUGAUUUGAGAUAUGAAUCGGCUAAAGCAGUUGAAGGUCAAGCCAUAGCUGAUUUCAUUACUCAUCAUCGAGAAAAGGAAGUAACAUUAUUGGAAUUAACCUCUUGAGAUCUAUUCUUUGAUGGAUCUACUUGCAAGCAAGGAGGGGGUGUCGGUAUUGUGUUGAUUUCUCCAUAAGAGAUGAGUUUUGAAUAUGCUAUUUGAUGAGGACAUCAGCACCAUCUAUACAUCCACACCUACAUCACACCAUCGCCAACACCACUUGGCCCUCUUACUCGUACCCAUGCCCGUCAACUGAACCAUCAAGUAAGUUUAUUCUUAAACUCUUGUCCAUCAUAUUUAGACAAUGGAGACACGUGCACGCUUGUUUUGCUUAGGAAUGAUGGAGAGGACCAGAAGCAUAGGGGAUUGGCGUAGGCUGGAUUUGGACAGCAAGACAGCACCAACUUACAACAACUGCCAUGACUUCAUACAGAGUCCAUUUUAAGCAUGCAAGCACUUGAUGGAAAACUCGUCAAGUAUAUUUUUAGAUGGAUCUCAAUUCAAGUUCACAGCAGCUAUGAGGCGGCCGCAAUUGUCUAAUAACUCCACGGACCUUUUCUUCGGAUACCUACUUUUAGAGCAUGCUUCGGUCAAUAAGGAUCUCAUGUUUCGGUCAAUAAGGAUCUCAUGCAACUAAGCAAUGUUGCCUUUAUUUCUCUGUUAUUUUUAGAGUGUUGAUAUUUUUAGAGUGUUGAGAGUGCCACCUAGCUUUGCUCUCUCUUGUAUUUAUGGCUCCUACAUGCCACCACAACAAUCUGGGUUUUGUUUAAUCGAAUUAGCCAUUUGCUACCGCCUUUCAACGCGCGUGUUGGAUAAACCGCCCGUCUGAUUGUAAAAGGAACCCCACCAUCUUGUGAUUUCAGAUUGAAAGCUCAAUAUAUAUAUUUUUCAAUUGUGAUUGUUCAUUGUGUUCUUGCUUGUUCUUUGAUUGCUUGCAGGACGAGUGCCCUCGUGGCCGGGUCGCGCACCACAAGAACGCAGCGAUCCUUGGAGUCAGUGUAUCGGUUGCUAAGGCGCAUCAUCCUUGGAUGGUUGUAGUCGGAUCAUGAACGUCGUCUCCUUCCACUAAAUCGAAGUUAUCCAUCUCCACCAAAAAGAUUGGGACACCCUCGUUCUUAUUAUGUGGUAAUCAGAGCAAGGUUUGAUUGGUGAGAGAUUUUAUUUUGCAAUUUUUUUUCCUAUAGUCCAGAAAAGCCAAAAAAAAAUUUAGUUUCAUUCCCAACAUCCUAUAGACCCAUUGAGCCUUUUACUAGUACUACUUAGUUCACGCAAGUUGUGUUUGAUUUACAUCGGUCGAGUCGAAUUGCUGGUCUUGGGUUUAGACUUUUAGAGUUUCGAGUUCUUGUCACGUUUUAGUCACUGCCCAUCGUAUAAUCUCUGCUGCAAUCACUAUUAUCAUAUACAUUUGGACUGUCUGAACUAUCAUCACCACCCUACUUGUGCACCAUGUAAACUCCAUCCACCAGUUUCUCUUUUCACUUGUACGCACCCCUAUAUUUUUAGGCGCAUGCACCCUUUCACUUCAACCCAUGAGCAUGAUAUGAUUAACCGCCACCUCCUGCAUGCUCCUUUCUUCCAUCCAUACAUCCUAUUAUUAGCGCUAGCGCACAUUCUAUUUUCAGCAUCCUAUUACAACCACCAGAUUUGUUCCACAUUUGCGCAUCUAAUUUUAGAACAUUCCAUUGUUCCAUCCACUUCUAGCAGCGCGCAUCCUUUUGCCUGUCCUCCACUCUUCUUUCACAUUCUAUUUUUAGCAUCUCCAUUGCAAUCAGUACUACUGCAGCACCAUAUCACCAUCACAAUUUGCUAGUUGUAUUUUUGUCACACUAAAGGCAUUGUGCGUAUUCUGAAAUCUAAUCCAUCAAGAUUCAGAUUUGUUUUAGUUGAGCAAAGUAAAAGAAAAAAAAACAGAAAGAAAUAAAAAAAACAAUCAAAAAAAGAGGAAAAAAACGAAAGAAAAAAAAACGAAAGAAAAGAAAGGAAGAGGAAAAGAAGGGGAGUUAUCUAGGAAAAGAAGGGGAGUUAUCUCUUGUUGUCCUUAUUAUUGUUCGUGCUGUAACGUGACUUUGUGUCUAGGCUCGCGUCUCUAGCACGGUCUAGCCUAGGACUAGCAUAGCACCACCGUUGAAUGAUUUCUCAACCUGCUUUUGUAACUAAUGUGGUGUUAGUAUUUCCUUGCUACUUUCAGCCUUCCUAUAGCUCCACAAAUUCGACUAUAGCUUGACAGGGAUUGAUGUUGCGGCACCGAUACACUUGCUUCUUAGGUUGAGUUGCUGAAUUGUUGGCUGCCGUCCCCCUCCUGUUGAGUUUGGUAAGAACAGGUGAGAACAUGCAUGGACAAGUGUAGAGAGUGAGAGGAUUAUAAUAACCACAUCCUAGUAGCAUUAGGGCAGUUUUUCUUUCACUUUUUUUUGUCUCCUCUCUUGUGAUCAUGCCAGGAGAAUCAGAUCCAACCCCAGAUCCAACCCCACCACAAUCACCACGGACAAAGACCUUUAUGCAACACUUUGAACGCAAAGUAAGGGAGCACACUAAUGGCCUCAAUGAGGAUGUAUAGGUGACCAAUGAAAAGGUUGGGCAAUUGGAGACAGCCCAAAUAGCCACCACCAGCAAGAUUACAAGGUUGGAGGCAUCUAUUGUUCGUAUGGACAAAAGCCUUGCUGCCCUUCUGAACCGUUUUGAUGACUUCCACAUGAAACACAAAGAGAAGCAUAAUGAAGAUGAAGAGUGAGUCAAAGAUAAUUAUGAUGAUGAUUAUACUGCUGAUACUGAACAUGAUGAUCGUGACACUCGUGAUCGGCAUCGCCUACGCCAUAAUCGAAGUGGUAUGGGCGGUCACCGUCGACAUGAGGUACCCAACAAUACAGAUUCUUUUAGCAAGAUUAAAUUUAAAAUACCUCCUUUUGAUGGUAAGUAUGACCCUGAUGCAUAUAUUUCUUGGGAAAUUGCUAUUGAACAAAAGUUUGCAUGUCAUGAGUUUCCUGAGAAUACACGUGUUAGGGCUGCUACUAGCGAGUUUAGUGACUUUGCUACUGUUUGGUGGAAUGAACAUGUCAAGAAAAAUCCUAAUAACAUACCACAAACUUGGAAUGCUUUAAAACGAAUCAUGAGGGCUAGAUUUGUCCCUUCUUACUAUGCACGAGAUUUGUUACAUAAAUUACAACAACUGAGACAGGGAGCUAAAACUGUAGAAGAAUAUUAUCAAGAAUUGCAAAUGGGUAUGUUGCGUUGUAAUAUAGAAGAGGACGAGGAACCUGCUAUGGCUAGGUUUUUGGGUGGACUAAACCGUGAAAUUCAGGACAUACUUGAAUAUAAAGAUUACAAUAACAUAACCCGUUUGUUUCAUCUUGCGUGUAAAGCUGAAAGGGAAGUUCAGGGACGAUAUGCUAGUACCAAGAAUAGUAUUUCUGCAGGGAAGACUAAUUCAUGGCAGCCCCGCACGACUACUACUCCACCUACACGUGCUCCUAUGCCUUCACAAAGCAACAUGUCUCGUGCUAAUCUAGCAAACUCAGUGGCAAAGACGAUUCAAAAUCCUACUGCAAGUGCUUCACCCAUGGCGUCUACAGGUAGAACAAGAGACAUUCAGUGUCUCCGAUGCAAGGGAUAUGGACAUGUGAUGCGUGAAUGUCCCAGCAAGCGUGUUUUGAUCGUCAAAGAUGAUGGUGAGUGCUCAUCUGCUAGUGAUUUUGAUGAAGAUACACUUGCAUUGCUUGCAGCUGACCAUGCAGGUAGUGAACAACAUUUCGAAGAACAUAUUAAUGCUACUGAAGUAGACCGCUAUGAGAGCCUUAUUGUGCAGCGUGUGCUUAGUGCACAAAUGGAGAAGGCAGAGCAAAAUCAGUGACAUACAUUGUUUCAAGCAAAGUGUGUCAUCAAAGAGCGUUCAUGUCGCAUGAUCAUUGAUGGAGGUAGCUGCAACAACUUGGCCAGCAGCGACAUGGUGGACAAGCUUGCGCUUACCACUAACCCACACCCACAUCCAUAUUAUAUUCAAUGGCUGAACAAUAGUGGCAAGGCAAAGGUAACUAGACUUGUGCGAAUCAAUUUUUCUAUUGGGUCGUAUAAAGAUGUUGUUGAAUGUGAUGUUGUGCCUAUGCAAGCUUGCAAUAUUCUGCUAGGUAGACCUUGGCAAUUUGAUAGAGAUUCUAUGCAUCAUGGAAGAGCAAAUCAAUAUUCUUUUCUAUAUCAUGAUAGAAAAAUUGUUUUACACCCUAUGUCUCCUGAGGCGAUUAUGCAAAAUGAUGUGGCUCAGGCUACAAAAGCAAAAAGAGAGAGGAAUACUAAACCUGUCAUAGAUAGGAAAGAUGGGAUCAAAUUGAAAGGGAAUUGUUUGCUUGCUACUAAGUCUGAUAUUAAUGAGUUGAAUGCAUCCACUUCUACUAUUUAUGCUUUAGUAUGCAAAGAUGCAUUAAUUUCCCUUCACGAUAUGCUGCAUUCUUUGCCUCCGGAGGUUGCUGACAUUUUGCAGGAGUAUUCUAAUGUGUUUCCAACUGAAAUGCCACCGGGGCUACCACCACUUCGAGGGAUUGAGCACCAGAUUGACUUGAUUCCCGGUGCUUCAUUGCCCAACCGUGCACCAUACAGGACCAAUCCAGAAGAAACAAAAGAGAUUCAGCGGCAAGUGCAAGAACUACUCGACAAAGGUUAUGUGCGUGAGUCUCUUAUUCCUUGUGCUGUUUCUGUUAUUUUAGUGCCUAAAAAAGAUGGAUCAUGGCGUAUGUGUGUGGAUUGUCGAGCUAUCAAUAAUAUUACUAUUAGAUAUCGCCAUCCUAUUCCACGCUUAGAUGACAUGCUUGAUGAACUAAGUGGUGCUGUUGUAUUUUCCAAAGUUGACUUGCGUAGUGAUUACCACCAGAUUCGUAUGAAAUUAGGAGAUGAAUGGAAAACCGCUUUCAAAACUAAAUUCGGUUUGUAUGAGUGGUUAGUCAUGCCUUUUGGUUUAACUAAUGCACCGAGUACCUUCAUGAGACUAAUGAACGAGGUUUUGCGUGCCUUCAUUGGAAGAUUUGUUGUUGUUUAUUUUGAUGAUAUAUUAAUUUACAGCAAAUCUAUGGAUCAACAUCUUGAUCAUUUACGUGCUGUUUUUCAAGCUCUACGAGAUGCACGCUUAUUUGGUAAUAUUGAGAAGUGCAUGUUUUGCACAGAUCGAGUUUCUUUUCUUGGCUAUGUUGUUACUCCACAGGGAAUUGAGGUUGACAAAUCUAAGGUGGAAGCAAUACAAGGGUGGCCAAUACCAAAGAGCGUCACCCAGCUAUGGAGUUUUCUAGGACUUGCUGGGUUCUAUCGUCGCUUUGUGCAGGAUUUCAGCACCAUUGCUGCACCAUUGAAUGAGCUUACAAAGAAGGGAGUGCACUUUUCUUGGAGCACAGCACAAGAGAAUGCUUUCAACAUGUUGAAAGAUAAGUUGACACAUGCACCUCUUCUCCAACUUCCUGAUUUUAACAAAACUUUUGAACUUGAAUGUGAUGCUAGUGGAAUUGGUUUGGGUGGUAUUUUGUUACAAGAAGGAAAACCCAUUGCAUAUUUUAGUGAGAAACUAAGUGGGCCUAUUCUAAAUUAUUCUACUUAUGAUAAAGAAUUGUAUGCUCUUGUGCGAACAUUAGAAACAUGGCAACAUUAUUUGUGGCCCAAAGAAUUUGUCAUACAUUCUGAUCAUGAAUCGUUAAAGCAUAUUCGUAGCCAAGGAAAACUGAACCGUAGACAAGCUAAGUGGGUUGAAUUCAUUGAAUCUUUUCCGUAUGUCAUCAAACACAAGAAAGGGAAAGAGAAUAUCAUUGCUGAUGCUUUAUCUAGGAGAUAUACCUUGUUGACACAACUCGACCAUAAGAUCUUUGGAUUGGAAACAGUUAAAGAACAAUACGUGCAUGAUGAUGAUUUUAAAGAUGUGUUUUUGCAUUGUAAGGAUGGGAAGGCAUGGAAUAAAUUUGUUGUAAAUGAUGGUUUUGUGUUUAGAGCUAAUAAGCUAUGCAUUCCAGCUAGCUCUGUUCGUUUGUUGUUGCUACAGGAAGCACAUGGAGGUGGUUUGAUGGGACAUUUUGGGGCAAAGAAGACGGAGGACAUACUGGCUGGUCAUUUCUUUUGGCCAAAGAUGAGGAGAGAUGUGGAGAGAUUUAUUGCUCGCUGCACGACAUGUCAAAAGGCCAAGUCACGCUUAAAUCCACACGAUUUGAAGCCAUAUUUGGGUGAGGGAGACGAGCUUGAGUCGGGGACGACUCAAAUGCAAGAAGGGGAGGAUGAUGAGGACAUCAGCACCAUCUAUACAUCCACACCUACACCACACCAUCGCCAACACCACUUGGCCCUCUUACUCGUGCCCGUGCCCGUCAACUGAACCAUCAAGUAAGUUUAUUCUUAAACUCUUGUCCAUCAUAUUUAGACAAUGGAGACACGUGCACGCUUGUUUUGCUUAGGAAUGAUGGAGAGGACCAGAAGCAUAGGGGAUUGGCGUAGGCUGGAUUUGGACAGCAAGACAGCACCAACUUACAACAACCGCCAUGACUUCAUACAGAGUCCAUUUUAAGCAUGCAAGCACUUGAUGGAAAACUCGUCAAGUAUAUUUUUAGAUGGAUCUCAAUUCAAGUUCACAGCAGCUAUGAGGCAGCCGCAAUUGUCUAAUAACUGCAUGGACCUUUUCUUCGGAUACCUACUUUUAGAGCAUGCUUCGGUCAAUAAGGAUCUCAUGUUUCGGUCAAUAAGGAUCUCAUGCAACUAAGCAAUGGUUGCCUUUAUUUCUCUGUUAUUUUUAGAGUGUUGAGAGUGCCGCCUAGCUUUGCUCUCUCUUGUAUUUAUGGGUCCUACAUGCCACCACAACAAUCUGGGUUUUGAUUAAUCGAGUUAGCCAUUUGCUACCGCCUUUCGGCGCGCGUGUUGGAUAAACCGCCCGUCUGACUGUAAAAGGAACCCCACCAUCUUGUGAUUUCAGAUUGAAAGCUCAAUAUAUAUAUAUUUUUCAAUUGUGAUUGUUCAUUGUGUUCUUGCUUGUUCUUCGAUUGCUUGCAGGACGAGUGCCCUCGUGGCCGGGUCGCGCACCACAAGAACGCAGCGAUCCUUGGAGUCGGUGUAUCGGUUGCUAAGGCGCAUCAUCCUUGGAUGGUUGUAGUCGGAUCAUGAACGUCGUCUCCUUCCACUAAAUCGAAGUUAUCCAUCUCCACCAAAAAGAUCGGGACACCCUCGUUCUUAUUACUAUUCCCACAAAACCGACAUCUACUAAUAAUCAGGCAGAGUAUCUUAAAGGUAUUCAAUUUCUACAUGAAGUCAACGCCGAGAGUAUUGAAGUUUUUGGUGAUUCUGAAUUAGUAAUUAAUCAAUUUCUCAGCCUAUAUGAAUGCAAAGAUGAUGUCUUGAGAAAAUAUUAUGAAGAAUGCCAAGAACUUCUUAAUUCUUUUUCUUUUGUUAUUAUCAAGCAUAUCCCUAGGAAUCAGAAUCAAGAGGCUAAUCGGUUAGCUCAAAGUGCUUCUGAAUAUCGGUAAAUUAUUGAAAUUUUAGCUGAUGAAGUUGUUGUUGAUGAAGAUUGGAGGAAGGAUAUUAUCGAGUGUUUGAAGAAUCCAUCACAACAAGUAUCCAGGAAAUUGAGGUACAAAGCUCUUAAAUUUGUUCUUCUUGAUGAUCGGCUAUAUCAUAGAACAGUUGAUGGUGUGCUCCUUAAGUGUCUCAACCAAGAAGAAGCUAAGGUUUUGAUGGGAGAGAUUCAUGAAGGAGUUUGUGGUGCUCAUCAAUCUGCUAUUAAGAUGAAGUGGAUGAUUAGAAGUGCAGGUUAUUUUUGGCCGACCAUGUUGGAGGAUUGUUUCAAAUAUUAUAAAGGAUGUCAAGAGUGUCAAAGGUUUGGCAAUAUUCAUAAAUCUCUAGCAUUGACUAUGAAUCCUAUUGUGAAACCAUGGCCAUUUAGAGGUUGGGGAAUAGAUCUAAUCAACCAGAUAUUUCCGUCAUCAAGUGUAACAGAAUCAUCCAAUUUAUAAGAAUUCAAGUGAAUUAGCGACCACAAAGCAGUCAAGCCAAUGGAAUUGAACCCAUAUAAACCCGGUAGUCCGAUGAAAUCUCAGAAGAUCUCGAUUAAACCAACAUACAACCAAGACCCUACAUGAUCAAGCAUCUCCAUCACAGAUUACACACAUUCGUCACAUAACAUAGUUUUACAACACAUCAGAGUUCAAACAGAGUUAUUACACAAAAGUAGUUUUAAACAACACACGCACUUAGUUCAAUUACAUGCCAGUUCCAUAGUCAUUCCCACAAAAGCACAACUGAAGAGAAUAGAAGUGAUCUUGCCCAUGAUCUACUCAUCAUCCGCAGUCGAAUGGUGACAAUUAGCACAGUAGCCGUGAUAAACGACAUCAUCUGCAACAAGGGUAAAUAAAACCCUGAGUACGAGAAUGUACUCAGCUAGACUUACUCGUCAUAAACCAGAAAUAAAGUGACACCAAGGAGUAUGCAAGGCUAACAUUUGUGGACUGGUUUGACUCACCUUUUGCAUAAAAGCUUUAGUUUUUGAGUAACACAUUUAUAACAUUUUCAGCAGCAAGUUAAUUAUUUAGAUCAGCUAUACACUAGAUUAUCACCUGUUCUAAGCAUACACUUGAGUAUUAAGCAUCACAAUAAUAACCAUAUCCGGAUUAUCACAUAGCCAUCAACAUUCUCAACAUAACCAUUAAGUUUAUUUAGUGAGUUCUACGUUGCCGCUGCUCGAGUCAAGUUCUCACUAUCCGAGAGAGACGGCGAUUCGAAUCGAUUCCUAUCCAGCUGGAGGGGUAUUCCUAGCACUCACCCAAGCACACCUCGCGAGGGCAGCUCGGAUCACCUUUAGCACAACUCCGGACCAAUUCGCGGGCCCGUCCAACGCCGCACCCCCAGGGACCGCCAAUCUGCCAAGGGCAGGACUCUAACCUGACACCUUGGUCUUACGCUAUUGACUCCCCGCACAUCCUUGCUACCAUCCGGGGUGCGCACUCAUACAGAAUGGGGUAUCCGGCCUGAGUUGCACUCGUAGGCUUCGCGGUCGGAAUGACUUAUCUGGCCAACUAAGUGUUAGGCAUGCGUUCAACAUGACACGAGGACGUACAGCGUAUCGGUCCUUAAACGACACAGACGGGGAUAGAUUCACACCCAAGACCUCCUUGCCUUGUUGCUGCACUAUCGUCAUCUCGUCCGGUCUCAUUCAUUAUUAGCCAUGGUUAUUUCCACGAUAACAAAUAUAGCCAAUCGUGAUCUAGUAUCCACCUAACUCUCGCAGGUGAUAGGAAAUCACCCGGCUUCUACCGAGCUAAGCAUGGCUAAGCAUCAUUUCGAUCCUGGACCUACUUGGGUAAUGUAUAAGGUGGACAAGGAAAUCAUUAUGCAGCAAGGGUGUCAUAUCAAUGCCUAACACUUAAUGCAACAAUACAUAACCAUAGUUAAUUGACAGCUGGAUAUUAUAACAAAAAUAGUAGGAGGCUUAUAAUGCUCCGGGGCUUGCCUUCAACGUAGGUAGAGGGACGAUGGUCGGGACACUCCGGUAGAUCCUCCUCCUCCUCAGCUCCUUGAGGUGGCUCCCUCUGCUGCUCCUCCGGCUUGGGUGGUGCGAACUCCAAGACCGUCACGUCCUUGGGUACACCUAAGUAUGCAUGACAAGGAAAUAAAUAUAGAGAAUGCACAUAUGAUGCAUGAUGUCAUGAUGAAGAGCCAAAGGAACAUGAAGCCAUGUACAAACACGAGUAUAAAGCUUAUAAGAUUAUGAGGAUCAUGAAAUAACAAGCAAGUGCAUACUUCUUCUCUGGUAGAGAGGCUACAAUUCACUUUUAAACAUCCCAGAAAGAUUCCCAACCGAAAUAGGUUGAAACAGGCAAAAUUUGCUGGCUGUCUUGGAAAAUCCAGAGAGCAAGCACUUCGCAGCAGCUUUUGUAACAAUCACAACUCUUAAACUACUCAUCCAAAUGUCAUGAAAUUUGAACACAAGGUAGAUAAGUAAGUUAGCUACAAGUUUGUUAUAGACAAGUUUUCCAGAAAACUUCAUCUUCAAGCAGUUCUUAAACAACUGCUAUCAGCUACACAGAAUAUGCUCUAGGAAAGACAUAAUUAAAAAAUAAUAUUUUAACACAUACUAUGAAUGUAACAUUGGUUCAAACCAAAUGCACCAGUAGUUAGAACAUGUCUAAGACACACCAGAAAACAUCAUGGCAAGGUUUAAACUCAUUUUUAUUAUCCCCUUUUCUAUUUAUUUGAUUAAUAGGGUGAAUUAAUGAGUAUAUAGUACAAGUGAUCCAAAAAUUCUAAUAAAAUUACAGCAUGCUAUCUAAGCUACCACAAGGUUACUGUAAAAUUUUCAGGGCUCUUGCACAUGUAGAUUGCGAGACACAAAAAUGACAAGCUAACAAUGGCAUUAAAGGCAUAAAUGUAAAAUUUUAUCAAAAAGUGUCAAACAACAGAUUUCAGAUUUUUCUUAGCUUUGUUUGUACAUAAUUACCUGACUCAGCACGUUUUAUCAGAAAAUGAGUUAUAAUCUGUUUACUAAAAAUACCACAAGAAACUCCUAUUUAAACAAGAAAUAUUUAUAACUCUACCAACAGGUAUCCAAAAAUUAUGAUAAAUUUAUCAGAGCCUAAACAUAGCAUGAAAAACAUUUUCCUAAAUUUGCAUGGCCAUAAGACUCACAGAUCUCAAGAUAUAAUUACCUCCUAUUUAACCAAGAUUAAAUCAUAUCUAUUUAUUUCUGCAAAAACAUGGCAUGUUUUAUAUUUUUAAUAAAAACUAGACUAACUCAAGAAUCUAACAAAAUUGGAAUCACUUCAUUUGGAUAUGUCUAGCUCAAGUUAUGAAUUUUACAAAAACAACACGGGAUCUACAAAACAGUGAACCAGAGGGGAGAGAGUUAGAGGCUGACGGGUGGGGCCUGCUGACAGACGGGACCCACACGACAGAGAGACAGAGAGCAAAGACGAGCUCAUCGCCGGCGAAUCUCGACCACGGUGUGGUCUCCGGGGAAACCGAGGGCAUCUACGUGUUCCUCACCACGAGGCGAACCUGUUGACCUACUUGGCUCACGCUCUACUAGACUCUAGGGUGCUCACCGUCGCGAAUGGCGGAACGGCGGCACUGCUGUUGGGUAUUUUAAACGCAAACAGAAAAAUCCGCAAGCGCACGGAUACCGAUGUAGCCUUCACCCGGGAGUAUUCCAGAGUAUCGAUUUUCCACAGGGAACGUGAGUGUACUAAUUAAGAUCCAAGAUCGCCCAAGGAUAACUAUAUAACUAUUUUUGGUGGGAAUAGAGGAAGUUUCCUGAGAGUUCUCUAGUUGAUCUAAGAAUCAAGAAUUACCUCAAGACUAUCUAUUUCGGGACAUCAGAACACUAACCACAAAAAGAGAUGAGAAGGGGGCUAGGAAGCUCCGACUACGGUCCUACAAACACCGAUCCGAACGAGGUGGAAUACGUCGACCGUUAGGGCUGUCACUACCCUAAUGCUACCACAACAAUCCGCAGGAUUGGGUGCAAUUCCAGGUAAUUGCAAGACUAAACACUACGUCUAAUCUAUUAAUUACUACUCUAAUGUUUCAAAGAUUAGAGCACUUGAUGCAAGCGGGAAUCCAAUAAAUAACUUGAAUGUAAAUAAAAGUAAUUAGAGAACUCAGGAGUUAUGGAUUGAAGAACCUGGAGAACGAUGAAGAACGAACCAGAUGCUGCAAAAGUACAAUGUUGAGGAAGAUCCGACAGAUCCGGCUCCUCCUCCGCUCUCCUCUUCUCUCUCCCUAUUUUCUAGAUUACAACUAGAACUAACUAGAACUACAACUAGAGGAACUAGAACUAGAACUAGAUGAACUAGAACUAGAUCUAGAUGAACUAGAGGUAGAACUAGAAGAACUAGAGGGAUCCUCUCUACUUGGAUGAAGAAUUGAAACCCUAGCUUUGAUUCUGUAGAAGAGGUAUGAUCUCCAGGGGCCAGGGGGGUCUGGUUUUAUAGUCCCUUCAAGUGAAUCUGGGCCGUCGGAUCAAACCAACAUUGAUCGUGUGGUUUUCCUUGAUCCUUUAGGUCGGUGGAGCAAUAUCCCGAAAGAGAGUCCUGAUUGGACUCUGGCUGAGGGCGGGCGCCCAGGAAAGGUGGGCGGGCGCCCUGUCCCUGAGUCCUCUCGGCCUCCGCUUCCUUCCCGUGGCUUCUGGAGUCUUCUAGAUGGUAGAAAAUUGCGCAGCACGUUAAUAUCUCUAUGUAAACCCGACAUGUGGGCCUUUCUUCCAUAUUUCCUGAUAACCCCCUGCAGAAAUAGACAAACACCAAAACUUGUGGAAUUCUAUCAGAUAAAACCCUAAGUCUAGGUGUUGGUUGCAUUUGGAUCCUUUUCUAUGAUUAGUUGAUGGUUAAAUGUGAGCAUUAAGGACCGUCAACAAGCUCCCCCAAGCUUAACCUUUGCUCGUCCCUGAGCAAAGAUGAAAUCAAGAGUUUCUGCAGUGGUUUCAUAACUUAAAGAUACACAUGCGUUUAAACAAGAUCUCAUCUCUGGUUAGAGUAAACUGUUAAGACUUAAAACUUACUCAUUUACCUUUCACCAUGGGACUUGUAACCGUCACUUCUGUCUUGAGUAGUUAAAAGAUAGAACAGUCUAGUCAAGCACCAUGUCUCUUGUUCUUCGAUUAACUAUAGCUCUGGAGUUUUUGCAGAUUUUCAAAUAAAACUCAGAGAUUCCUUGUAUGACUCUCUCUAGUCUCUCUUUUGUGGUAUUUCUGGAUCCUUACCAAGGCAGAAAUGGUGUAUGCCUUCUCUCCAAGUAUGUGGUAUUUUUGCUAUGAGGCAUAGUGGCAUUGCCUUCUCUCUCACCCUUCUCUAAUAAGGUUUUGAUAUCUGGAGCUCAUAGGUGGCAGACAGCUAAUACAUACUUACAAGACAUUUAUUGCAUAGUCAAACCAUGGAUCCAGAAGAACAAGUCAAUAAGUCAAAUCAAGAUGUGCAUGUGUGGCAAAUGAAUGGUGUAUGGUGAUGAUGGUGAUAACAAUGGUGGAAGUCUAAUUCUACUUAUGCUCUUUUGAGGGGAUACAUACCUUUCUUCCUCUUUUGAAACUUUUCGAGGGGAAUGAGAUGCUCUAUAUUUUCUCUUUUUUUUCUUUUCUCUCAGGUGGGUAUCUUGUACCCCUAAUUCUACUGUCGGACACUUGUCCAUUUUUACCUCUCGUCUCACUUUUUUUUUCUUUUCUUUCGAGGUUCCGGGCACUUCCCCUUUUUAUUUCCUCGUAUUUUUUUUUCUUUCUUUUUUAGAGCACUCAUCUCCUGAAAUAAUAUAGCAAGUGGUAGUAACCAAGAUAACUUGAGCAUUUUUUUUCACAGGGAAAAACAGAAAUAGGAGAAUGUUUUUGGCUAUUCUCUCCCGGAUUAAGAGUAGAAUAUUUUUGAGUGGUUCUGGAGAUGGAAAUGGAUGGAUAUAUGUGGAUGGUACUUCUGCAGUAGAAGUAGCAUGUGUGAGUGAACAUGCAAGUGAAUCUUGAUUUAACCACAUGACAAGCUCCUAAGGGUCUACACAGCUUGACCACACUCAAUGCUCAUAAGCAGUAAAAAGUAAAUGUGUGGUUCAUAGUCUAACAAGCAUGUAUAUAUGGCUGUGGUAGGAAUUUAAACUCUCAUCAUACAGGAACUCAUCAUGUAAUAUUUUAAAGAUUUUCAAAGAUAAAAUUCUCCAGAAUUCUAGCAUCUCUAGGAACAGAUAAACAACAGCUCAACCUUCCCAUAUCAUAUCCGUUAACGACUUAGACUUUAGAUUGUUGACGGUCCUUAAUGCUCAUAUUUAACCAUCAAUUAAUCAUAGAAAAGGAUCCAAAUGCAACCAACACCUAGACUUAGGGUUUUAUCUGACAGAAUUCCACAAGUUUUGGUGUUUGUCUAUUUCUGCAUGGAGUUAUCAGGAAAUAUGGAAGAAAGGCCCACACGUCGGGUUUACAUAGAGAUAUUAACGUGCCGCACAAUUUUGUAUGAUCUAGAAGACUCCAGAAGCCACGGGACCGAACGGGAGACGUAACGGAGCCGGGCACUGGGCGCCCGCCCUCCCUUACUGGGCGCCCGCCCUCCCCCCUGGACCAAUCAGGGUGAAGUUUGGGGAUCAUGCUCCACCGACCUAAUACUUCAAGGAAAACCACACGAUCAAUGUCGGUUUGAUCCGACGGCCCAGAUUCACUUGAAGGGACUAUAAAACCAGACCUCCCUGGCCCCUGGAGAUCAUACCUCUUCUACAGAAUCAAAGUUAGGGUUUCAAUUCUUCAUCCAAGUAGAGAGGAUCCCUCUAGUUCUUCUAGUUCUACCUCUAGUUCAUCUAAAUCUAGUUCUAGUUCAUCUAGUUCUAGUUCUAGUUCUAGUUAGUUCUAGUUGUAAUCUAGAAAAUAGGGAGAGAGAAGAGGAGAGCGGAGGAGGAGCCGGAUCUGUCGGAUCUUCCUCAACAUUAUACUUUUGCAGCAUCUGGUUCGUUCUUCAUCGUUCUCCAGGUUCUUCAAUUCAUAAUUCUUGAGUUCUCUAAUUACUUCUAUUUACAUUCAAGUCAUUUAUUGGAUUCCCGCUUGCAUCAAGUGCUCUAGUCUUUAUAACGCUAGAGUAGUAAUUAAUAGAUUAGACGUGGUGUUUAGUCUUGCGAUUACCUGGAAUUGCACCCAAUCCUGCGGAUUGUUGUGGUAGCCUUAGGGUAGUGACAGCCCUAACGGUCGACGUAUUCCACCACGUUCGGAUCGGUGUUUGUAGGACCGUAGUCAGACCUUCCUAGCCCCCUUCUCAUCUCUUUCUGUGGUUAGUGCUCUGAUGUCCCGAUAUAAAUAAUCUUGAAGUAAUUCUUGAUUCUUAGAUCAACUAGAGAACUCUGAGGAAACUUCCUCUCUUCCCACCAAAAAUACUUAUAUAGUUAUCCUUAGGCGAUCUUGAUUCUUAAUUAGUACACUCACGUUCCCUGUGGAAAAUCGAUACUCUGGAAUACUCCCGGGUGAAGGCUACAUCGGUAUCCGUACGCUUGCGGAUUUUUCUGUUUGCGUUUAAAAUACCCAACAAGCUUUCUGGCGCCGUUGCCGGGGAACGGUAGCUGUGCUAGUUUCGAACCAAGUCGUCCGUGUAUCCUUUUUCUUUUCCUUUUUUUACCAUACUCACCUUAUCACUUUCACCAUACCACAUGGAUUUCACUCUAAGCAUUAACGAGCAUGUAAAUUAUUUCAUAGCCACUUCAUUUACUCCAUGCUCAUAUGCAACAUCUUCACAAUCCAUUGGUCUCUCCAACAUCACCAUAUUCGAGAUCUCCAACCCCAUCAUCCUUACUAUUUAUAAAAACUUUAAAAGGGCGGUUGUCGAUGCAUAUGUCUAUAUUAAAUAUUGCAGAUCUCGUUGAGUUGAUCUUGAUAUAGGUCAGCGUUGGAGGGGAAACCACUUCGCCGACAUAAAUUGAGGGUUUCCCAAGGACAAGCUUAGUGUCCUAAAACAAGCACUGAUCAGAUCGUAACAUGAGCUUUUAAUUAUUUGCAACAUUACCUUGUGUGUUGAGCAUAUCACGAUAAUUGUAAAAAUAUUCCUUCGGGUAUUCUUGUCACUAACCUUUCCAGGAUUGGAGCAAGAAGAUCGGAUGAAUGACAAGCACAAGGUAUGUACAACCAAUCAUCAUACAACAUUGAAUUAAAUUCAUCCAAACUUGAAUUUUGCAAAAUUCAAGCUUGGGGGAGUACUUUACAUAAAAACAUCCUUUGCCCUGU